UUUUGGACAAUGGGCGCAAGCCUGAUCCAGCAAUGCCGCGUGAGUGAAGAAGGCCUUCGGGUUGUAAAGCUCUUUUGUCAGGGAAGAAACGGUGAGCUCUAAUACAGUUUGCUAAUGACGGUACCUGAAGAAUAAGCACCGGCUAACUACGUGCCAGCAGCCGCGGUAAUACGUAGGGUGCAAGCGUUAAUCGGAAUUACUGGGCGUAAAGCGUGCGCAGGCGGUUAUGUAAGUCAGAUGUGAAAUCCCCGGGCUCAACCUGGGAAUGGCAUUUGAGACUGCAUGGCUAGAGUGUGUCAGAGGGGGGUAGAAUUCCACGUGUAGCAGUGAAAUGGGUAGAGAUGUGGAGGAAUACCGAUGGCGAAGGCGGCUCCCUGGCCUGAUACUGACACUGAGCACGA
rnacentral:rRNA from 1 species